GACGAACGCUGGCGGCGCGCUUAAUACAUGCAAGUCGAACGAGAAGCCAGAGCUUGCUCUGGUGGAAAGUGGCGAACGGGUGAGUAACACGUGAGAAACCUGCCCCAAAGAUUGGGAUAAGCCUUGGAAACGAGGUCUAAUACCAAAUACCUUCUUUUUAACACAUGUUAAAAAGAAGAAAUGCUCCGGCGCUUUGGGAUGGUCUCGCGAUCUAUCAGCUUGUUGGUGAGGUAACGGCUCACCAAGGCAUCGACGGAUAGCUGGUCUGAGAGGAUGUCCAGCCACAUUGGAACUGAGACACGGUCCAAACUCCUACGGGAGGCAGCAGUAGGGAAUCUUGCACAAUGAGGGAACCUUGAUGCAGCGACGCCGCGUGCGGGACGAGGCCCUAGGGUUGUAACCGCUUUCAGUA
rnacentral:rRNA from 1 species